rnacentral:rRNA from 1 species
GUGGGGAUGACGUCAAAUCAUCAUGCCCCUUAUGACCUGGGCUACACACGUGCUACAAUGGAUGGUACAAAGGGCUGCAAGACCGCGAGGUCAAGCCAAUCCCAUAAAACCAUUCUCAGUUCGGAUUGUAGGCUGCAACUCGCCUACAUGAAGCUGGAAUCGCUAGUAAUCGCGGAUCAGCAUGCCGCGGUGAAUACGUUCCCGGGCCUUGUACACACCGCCCGUCACACCACGAGAGUUUGUAACACCCGAAGUCGGUGGAGUAACCGUAAGGAGCUAGCCGC